GGUUAAGCGACUAAGCGUACACGGUGGAUGCCCUGGCAGUCAGAGGCGAUGAAGGACGUGCUAAUCUGCGAUAAGCGUCGGUGAGGUGAUAUGAACCGUUAUAACCGGCGAUUUCCGAAUGGGGAAACCCAGUGUGUUUCGACACACUAUCAUUAACUGAAUCCAUAGGUUAAUGAGGCGAACCGGGGGAACUGAAACAUCUAAGUACCCCGAGGAAAAGAAAUCAACCGAGAUUCCCCCAGUAGCGGCGAGCGAACGGGGAGGAGCCCAGAGCCUGAAUCAGUGUGUGUGUUAGUGGAAGCGUCUGGAAAGGCGCGCGAUACAGGGUGACAGCCCCGUACACAAAAAUGCACAUAUUGUGAGCUCGAUGAGUAGGGCGGGACACGUGGUAUCCUGUCUGAAUAUGGGGGGACCAUCCUCCAAGGCUAAAUACUCCUGACUGACCGAUAGUGAACCAGUACCGUGAGGGAAAGGCGAAAAGAACCCCGGCGAGGGGAGUGAAAAAGAACCUGAAACCGUGUACGUACAAGCAGUGGGAGCCUCUUAAUGGGGUGACUGCGUACCUUUUGUAUAAUGGGUCAGCGACUUAUAUUCUGUAGCAAGGUUAACCGAAUAGGGGAGCCGAAGGGAAACCGAGUCUUAACUGGGCGUUAAGUUGCAGGGUAUAGACCCGAAACCCGGUGAUCUAGCCAUGGGCAGGUUGAAGGUUGGGUAACACUAACUGGAGGACCGAACCGACUAAUGUUGAAAAAUUAGCGGAUGACUUGUGGCUGGGGGUGAAAGGCCAAUCAAACCGGGAGAUAGCUGGUUCUCCCCGAAAGCUAUUUAGGUAGCGCCUCGUGAAUUCAUCUCCGGGGGUAGAGCACUGUUUCGGCAAGGGGGUCAUCCCGACUUACCAACCCGAUGCAAACUGCGAAUACCGGAGAAUGUUAUCACGGGAGACACACGGCGGGUGCUAACGUCCGUCGUGAAGAGGGAAACAACCCAGACCGCCAGCUAAGGUCCCAAAGUCAUGGUUAAGUGGGAAACGAUGUGGGAAGGCCCAGACAGCCAGGAUGUUGGCUUAGAAGCAGCCAUCAUUUAAAGAAAGCGUAAUAGCUCACUGGUCGAGUCGGCCUGCGCGGAAGAUGUAACGGGGCUAAACCAUGCACCGAAGCUGCGGCAGCGACACUAUGUGUUGUUGGGUAGGGGAGCGUUCUGUAAGCCUGUGAAGGUGUACUGUGAGGUAUGCUGGAGGUAUCAGAAGUGCGAAUGCUGACAUAAGUAACGAUAAAGCGGGUGAAAAGCCCGCUCGCCGGAAGACCAAGGGUUCCUGUCCAACGUUAAUCGGGGCAGGGUGAGUCGACCCCUAAGGCGAGGCCGAAAGGCGUAGUCGAUGGGAAACAGGUUAAUAUUCCUGUACUUGGUGUUACUGCGAAGGGGGGACGGAGAAGGCUAUGUUGGCCGGGCGACGGUUGUCCCGGUUUAAGCGUGUAGGCUGGUUUUCCAGGCAAAUCCGGAAAAUCAAGGCUGAGGCGUGAUGACGAGGCACUACGGUGCUGAAGCGACAAAUGCCCUGCUUCCAGGAAAAGCCUCUAAGCAUCAGGUAACAUCAAAUCGUACCCCAAACCGACACAGGUGGUCAGGUAGAGAAUACCAAGGCGCUUGAGAGAACUCGGGUGAAGGAACUAGGCAAAAUGGUGCCGUAACUUCGGGAGAAGGCACGCUGAUAUGUAGGUGAAGCGACUUGCUCGUGGAGCUGAAAUCAGUCGAAGAUACCAGCUGGCUGCAACUGUUUAUUAAAAACACAGCACUGUGCAAACACGAAAGUGGACGUAUACGGUGUGACGCCUGCCCGGUGCCGGAAGGUUAAUUGAUGGGGUUAGCGGUAACGCGAAGCUCUUGAUCGAAGCCCCGGUAAACGGCGGCCGUAACUAUAACGGUCCUAAGGUAGCGAAAUUCCUUGUCGGGUAAGUUCCGACCUGCACGAAUGGCGUAAUGAUGGCCAGGCUGUCUCCACCCGAGACUCAGUGAAAUUGAACUCGCUGUGAAGAUGCAGUGUACCCGCGGCAAGACGGAAAGACCCCGUGAACCUUUACUAUAGCUUGACACUGAACAUUGAGCCUUGAUGUGUAGGAUAGGUGGGAGGCUUUGAAGUGUGGACGCCAGUCUGCAUGGAGCCGACCUUGAAAUACCACCCUUUAAUGUUUGAUGUUCUAACGUGGGCCCCUUACCGGGGUUGCGGACAGUGUCUGGUGGGUAGUUUGACUGGGGCGGUCUCCUCCUAAAGAGUAACGGAGGAGCACGAAGGUUGGCUAAUCCUGGUCGGACAUCAGGAGGUUAGUGCAAUGGCAUAAGCCAGCUUGACUGCGAGCGUGACGGCGCGAGCAGGUGCGAAAGCAGGUCAUAGUGAUCCGGUGGUUCUGAAUGGAAGGGCCAUCGCUCAACGGAUAAAAGGUACUCCGGGGAUAACAGGCUGAUACCGCCCAAGAGUUCAUAUCGACGGCGGUGUUUGGCACCUCGAUGUCGGCUCAUCACAUCCUGGGGCUGAAGUAGGUCCCAAGGGUAUGGCUGUUCGCCAUUUAAAGUGGUACGCGAGCUGGGUUUAGAACGUCGUGAGACAGUUCGGUCCCUAUCUGCCGUGGGCGCUGGAGAACUGAGGGGGGCUGCUCAUAGUACGAGAGGACCGGAGUGGACGCAUCACUGGUGUUCGGGUUGUCAUGCCAAUGGCACUGCCCGGUAGCUAAAUGCGGAAGAGAUAAGUGCUGAAAGCAUCUAAGCACGAAACUUGCCCCGAGAUGAGUUCUCCCUGACUCCUUGAGAGUCCUGAAGGAACGUUGAAGACGACGACGUUGAUAGGCCGGGUGUGUAAGCGCAGCGAUGCGUUGAGCUAACCGGUACUAAUGAACCGUGAGGCUUAACCUU
rnacentral:rRNA from 1 species